UACGUAGAGGGCAAGCGUUGUCCGGAAUCAUUGGGCGUAAAGAGCGUGUAGGCGGUUCGGUAAGUCGGCUGUGAAAGUCCAGGGCUCAACCCUGGGAUGCCGGUCGAUACUGCCGGACUAGAGUUCGGAAGAGGCGAGUGGAAUUCCCGGUGUAGCGGUGAAAUGCGCAGAUAUCGGGAGGAACACCUAUGGCGAAGGCAGCUCGCUGGGACGUUACUGACGCUGAGACGCGAAAGCGUGGGGAGCAAACAGG
rnacentral:rRNA from 1 species